GAUGAAGAACGUAGCGAAAUGCGAUAAGUAGUGUGAAUUGCAGAAUUCAGUGAAUCAUCGAAUCUUUGAACGCACAUUGCGCCCCUUGGUAUUCCAUGGGGCAUGCGUGUUCGAGCGUCAUUUGUACCUUCAAGCUCUGCUUGGUGUUGGGUGUUUGUCUCGCCUCUGCGUGUAGACUCGCCUCAAAACAAUUGGCAGCCGGCGUAUUGAUUUCGGAGCGCAGUACAUCUCGCGCUUUGCACUCAUAACGACGACGUCCAAAAGUACAUUUUUACACUCUUGACCUCGGAUCAGGUAGGGAUACCCGCUGAACUUAAGCAUAUCAAUAAGCGGAGGA
rnacentral:misc_RNA from 1 species